GGCCCCCAGCUCCGUAAGAGCUCCAGCUCUUCCCUCCUCACUUUUCUCAGCCUCAGCUGGCUGCUGGGGGCAGGGGGAGCUGGGCUGCCCCACAGGGGUGGCAGUGCCCAGGAGAGCAGUCAGUGAGCUGGAGCAGCAGAAAGCGGCCCUGGAGGAAGCCAUGGUGGUUUUAUCCACAGAGCACCUUGAACAACCUGAGCAUAAUUAAUCACAGUUUGCUUCCCUGUGUUCAUAUGGGAUCCCUAAUCCCCUGUAAAUCCUGUGGGGAACAGAUGCAAUUAUCAAAGAAGCGCUUAUUAAAAAGAACUAUAUGUGCCAUAAAAAAAUGUCAGGACAAUUGUCCUUUGGCUGUUUGCAGUGUUGCCAGCUGUGAUAUACGAUCCCAGCUCUCCAUCCCAGCUGUCUGCGUCCCCAGCGUGCUUUAGCGGUGGCUUGUGCCGGGUUCCUUGCGCAGCUGCAGAACUCCCUGAGCUCAGCUGCUCUUCUCCUCCCCAACCGUGCCCGUACCUAUUUGUAACUCAGCGAGCAGCAGCCCAUCAGAGCUGUGGACCUUCUGCAGUGAACACUGUUUUGGGGCUCUGCUGGAUGAAGAGCUGCUUGGGGUCAGUACCUUCGAGACACGAGGAGAGGCAUCCAAGGGGGACAUUCUGCUUUGUCCAACUGGGCAAAGGAAGCCCAAGGAAGCUUUGGCCAAGCAGAUGCUCUCCCCAUGGCUCAGUUUCCACCUGUGAGGCUGGCAGAGUCACACCAGGCCAUCCCGCAGGGACUUUGAAGGAGCAGCCCAGCAGCGCUCCAGGAAAGCUGCAUGGUCGGGUGGCCCACAAAUAACCCUUGUGCACAGGGCAGGGGUGGCUUAUUCUGGAAGAUCAGAGCAAAGCAGAGAGGUGCUGCUGCACACAGCAAGGAUGUGCACGCUUGCUGAAAGCUCUACAGAAUAAGGGGGUGCAGGACCUACAAAAACCUGAGAAAUUGGUAAAAAUAUGCUCACACCUGUGAGGCUGCUGCUGACCUACGAGUCUCAAGGUAGCUUUUUUUGCGGGCAGGCAGCAGAGCCAUGGGGAGGAGGAGGAUGGGAGAGGCAGCAGGGCGGUUUGGCUCUAGCUCGUCACUCAGAGGAGGAAGGAGCAAAACACGGUUGGAAACCAGAGGAGCAAUCAAUGAUUUGCUGUCAAAUGAAAGGAUGGAUCGAGUGACUUUCUGCAGGAAUCUGUCCUUGAUCUAAUAGGAGUCAGUAUUUUCCCUAACGAUCCAAAUGAUGGAAUAUUCACUGCUACAUCCGCAGAGGGUCAAGAUGGGAAUUAGUGCUGCAAUUGCAGAGAAGGAGAUUUUUAAUCAUCUGGCAGUAAGGACAAUUACGCGCUGGGACGUUUUGCCUGGGGAGGCUGCGGAGGCUCGGUGGUUACAGACUUUAAGAAGAAUUUGGAGAAACCUCUCCCCAGAGUGAUGGAGCUCACCCCGUAAGGCAGGGCUGACCCCCAAGGUCCUUUCCAGCCCUAAUUUCUGUGAUUCUGCAUCAUUGCAAAAGCAGAAUCUCAUCUACUGUGACUUUUAGGAAGAAGUACGAAAAGCACCGUGAAAGGCUGAAAAUGUGAUAGCUUUAGAAAUAAAGCCUGUUGCUUUUAUCUGCAAACAUCUCAACGCAUAUGUCAACCCUGUUCUCCAAACCAAGCAGCAGAAAGGGAGCAGCCUGGCUUCCCAACCUCCUCCCUUGCAGAUCUGCCAGAGAUCUCGCUGGCUUCAAUUUGGACAGCCUGGGCAGUAAGGUUUUACCACCGUGGAAAAGCUUUGGAUUGCUAAAAGAUAUGAAAUCUGAGCAAUGGUAUUUGUAUGAAAUGGGAAUUAAAAAAAAUAUAAAUCCAUCAAUUCCUCUGGCAAAGACAGCUGGGCAUUUGGAGUGGUGGUGUUUGAAAUGCAAAACGCACCUCAUUGGAGAGUUGUUUCAUGCCAUUCAUCUUCGGAGCGCGCUCUUACUGCUUGUUUGCAAUGUGCAGCUAUAAACCACGCUUUCUGAAAGUGCUCCGGCUGGCUCGGAGGUAAGCAAGAGGGAAGGAUGCUAAUAUCAGACAUUUCAAUCCCCACUGCAGCCUGCAUUGCUCAAAGCAAGAUGACUUGCAAACAUGUAGCCCAAAUGAGGAAGAUGAAUCGUAUGCAAGGUCAGGCUCAAUGCCAGGAAACUGAUAGAGGCAAAAGCGGUUAAUUGCUUUAGAUUCCAACAGCCCCAAAACGUGCCCUGCGUACAGACAUCCCUGCCUCACGCAGCGAUGGACCUCACCAUCCAAACCAGCAAAUAGAAUAGGAAACGGAGGUGCUCGUCAUGAUUUUUAAUGUCAGAAUUAGAUUCACUGUUGCCUUAUGGUCUCUGUAAUUACUAGACAUCACUCAUCGUUUUUCUCAGCUCAAGGGAUACUCUGUUAUUGACCUCACUGGGAAGAUAUAAAUACAUUACUGAGUGGAAAUAUCACCAUUUGCCAUUGUGGAAAGGUCUACACCACAGCUCAGAGGACCCUGAAAUCUUUAUUGCAGUGCACCUACAGCAGAGGACAAUGCCUGAUACUGGUGGUGCGAUGGCCAAGUGCUUCUGCUGAGGCUUUAGGGGAGAAAAAACUAUUACAGGGUAUUAAAAGAGAGACACAACAGCAAGCCAUGAGCCAAAAGGACCUUUCUACAGCCAAACAGAUAAAAAAUACCAUGCUUGGGGGCAUAUUGGCCACGCUGGUCUCAAGCUGGUGGGGCCACAAAGACUUUGGGGAGAACGGUAGGGCAUCAGAGAGCAAAGGGGUGUUAUUUCCAUGGGGGUGAUCAGUGCUGAAAGCAGGGGGAAGCUGGUGAGGUGCUCUUGUGAAGCCAUGCAUGGAGCAUGGUGGUGGUGGGAUGCUCUCGGGAAGCCAAGCACCAGCUCUGUGGUGCACGGGUGGGUGCUCAGCCCGGAGGCCACCUAUGCAAGGAGGUAGCUCACCAGUUUGUGCUGGACACCCCAUGCCCACCCCAAGCCCCUGGUGCCCUGGAACAUCUCUGAGCCAUGAAAAAGAGCUUUGUGAGCGGGGGGUCAGCUGUCCUGGUGCAUGGCACUUGCGUCCCUCCUCUUCCUCAGGCAGCCUCAGAGCAAACACCCGUGCAGGGACGGUCCAUGCUCAGCAGGUCAGACCUUGUAUGGGGCUGGCAGAGCUCUUCCCAGGUCUCCACGUGCUUUAAGGUGUCCCAUAAAAAAAAAAGCCUCAUCUGUUUUUAGGGGACGAGGCUGCUCACAGACCAGGCAGGGCAGUGGCACAGCAAGAAUUGGAUCUGCAGCCCCCAUUGGUGUCUCAUUUGGUUGGUGUUGCACUUUGAUUGCUGCUGGGUUUGGGGGGAUUGAUAGAUCUCAACCAGCUGUGGCUUCCUCUGAGCAUCACCAUCCCCAUGAGCUUGCCUAAAGCAGCUCCCCAACCAGGAAAAGGAGACCUGAUGGAAAGAAAAUAUAAAAAAAAAGAGAUGGUGGCUCCCACCGCCUCCAGGUGACUUCCCGCCCCCGCUGUUAAAACACCGUCUUUAUUUUGGGUUGGGGUGUGCUUGGCUCUUAAAACCUCCCCGUGCAGCUGGCUCGGUGUCCUUGCGGCACGAGGGGCAGCUGGGCCCCCAGAUUACAGCCUCACUGCUCACAAGUGCUUGUUAUAGCUCAUCGAGCCACGGAGGUUUCUCUGCCUUCUAUUUUGAGCCGAGCUCCCCUUGUGUUUAUUUACAGUCACCCGAGCAGCUUGUAGCUGUUGGAGUUGAAGAAAAUUGCUGUGAAAGGGAGGAAAUUGGCUUCUCACCUUACAGGAGCCAGAGGAGCUCCUGGGAUGUAUCUUGGGGGCGUGAAGGAGUGGAGAAGCCACCCCCGGGUGGUUCCUGCAGCUCCGGCUGUCCCCAGCCAAGUCCCUCCAAAGAGCACAAAUGUGCAAGUGUCUGUGCAGCCUCUCGCUCUGGACCUCCUGUAAAUGUCAUGCCCAUGUCUGUAAGUGGCCUAACAUAUUGAAGAUCAGGCAGCGAGGGGAGGGAAGAUGACCUUUUGCAUUUUGCCCGGAGCAGACGAGGGUAAUGGGAUUAUAAUUCCAUGUAAUUCAUCUUCUGACACCGUGCGAUCACCAAACUCCGCUCGGCCGGGGAUGGAGCGAGGCAGGCGGCCCCGAGCGCUGCUCCCAGGCACGGUCCCCAGCUGGGACAGCAUCCCCGAGCCCUCGCAGGGCUCAUCUGUGCCAAAAGCAUCCCCGCUGCGCCCCAGGUGCAGAUGGAGCUGCUCCUUCUGGCGGGAGGCUCAGAGCUGCUGCACGUGGAGGCCAGCAGCGAAAACACUUCCCAGCCUGGGGGAGCAGCUGGCACGGCCAGGGCAGCUCGCUCCAGAGCCUCAAUCUGCUCCCCUGCCUUCCUGCUGCCAGACCGCUUUGUGCUUUUUGGGGUCGCACCCGGCACAAAGCCUCUUUCUGGCAGCACAAGGUCUGCACCCCAAAUGCUGGUGCUGGGAGUGUAGAGAACCCCACCCCACUCUUUCUGCCCCAAAUGAUGCUUUUGCCCUGUCCAAGCACACUGCACCCAAAGCCUGUGCUGCCAGGCUGCUGUUAAUUAGCUCCUUGUUAAUUUGCUUCCCUGGAUCCCCAGCUCCUGUGGGCUGGCUGGGGGAGCUGUGUCCGCAGGGCGUUUGGGCAGCAGAGCGGGUGAUGCUUUCGGAGAGCUACACCUGCUUAAAGGCUGCUGCCGCCGCCUGGCAUUUAUUUUCCAUCACUGAUUACAUUCUGCUAGUCAGAGAUUUUAUCCCAGAGAAAUCCUCCAGGAACUCCUAAUAGUGGAGUCAAUCUUCAUAAAACCUGGGGCGGUAAACCAGGAGACCUCACUUUGCUGCAGGUCUGGUCUGUGGGUGCGGGGCUCCCAGUUCCCGCCAGCCCCGGUACCUUGCAGCACCCAGUAGGAGUCAUUAAAUAUUUAUUUGAAAGGGUUUUUGCUCCUGAGUGGUGAAAUAGAAACCAAAGAUUAAAUGGCUUGGCUAAUACGAGCAGUUUGGAGGAGAGCGAGCUGUGCCGGGCACCGCUGGCAUCUGGAUGCUGCACGCUCCUGCAUCCCUCUGGGGGAAAUCCUGAGGCAGAUUCAGAUAAAUUAAGCUCGGGUUUCUGUUACUGGGUAAAUGUUGGGUGAUGCCGUCGGUGUGGCUCCCUUGGCGUUUCUUCCCCUGGCAGCCCGUUUGUUUGUUGUAUUCCCUGUGGGUGGCUGCAGCACCCACAGCACAAAGCGCUCGUGGCAGUGGGACAGGGUGCUGGGUGGUCUGACCCAUGGCAGGAGCUGCAGGUGGGCUCCCCAAAUCGCCAGCAAGGGAAGCAGAUGGCCACGACUGCUCGUGGCUUGCCAGCAGUGAGUUUUGGAUCUGAAAUCUCAUGAUGCCAAAAGGGGCGAGGGUUUUGCUGAGCCUCCUCUGCUAUAGCAAGUCUGGAGGACGAGGCAGGGGUGCUGCUUAGGGGGCUUCAUCGCCACACCUGCUGCUCUCUGGAUUUGCAAGGCCCAGAAAAAUGACCCAGUGCAGGCAGUGCAAAGGAAACCCCUUCAUCAGCGGGGCUGUGUGGGCAGCGGCGCGCUCGGCAAAGCCUCAGUCAAUGAAAGCGAUCUCAUAAACACCAGCCUCGAAUUCAUCUCCCUCGUCCUGCCCUGCGUGCUUCCCUCAGAUCCUUCUCGGCAGUCAUCUCAGAGCCCUGGUAGAUGCAUCUUAUCUUUCUAAAACUCACCCCGACCUUGGGCAGAUGAAGCUAACUUUCCCUGCGCUGAGACAUCGGUCUUGGGUGACGAGCGGCAGGACGUGAGGAAAUGGCACCAACUUGCACCAGGGGAGGCCCAGAGCAGGCCUCAGGCAGAAUUUGGUCCUGCAGAGGGUGGCUGAGUGCUGGGACGGGCUGCCCGGGGCACUGGGGGGGUCCCCACCCCAGGAGUGUGUAAGGGACGUGUGGAUGUGGUGCUUGGGGACACGGCUCAGUGGGGGCACGCGGUCAGGGGUGGCUGGGCCUGGUGAGCCCACAGCUCUCCUCCAGCCUGGGGGAGUCCGUCAGUCUGUUCUCCAGUUUUCUCUACCAACAUCAGGAUGGUCCAGCCUCACCAACUCUCUUCUUCCUGCAUUAAAAAUCCUUCUGUGGUUUCUCCACCUCUUUAAACAAGGCACGUGGGGGCUCUCCCCAGCUUCCUCCAGCCUCCCCAUGGCCACAUCCCCCAGGGGCAGCGAGUGUCUGGGUGAGCUGGGCUGUGCUGGUGAGCUGGUGUGGCUGCUGUGAGCCUUCAUUUCCCCUAGGAAAGCUCACAGAGGUGCCUUGGCGUUGGGAUGGGCCACAUGGACUGACUUUGAGGACUGACUUUGCCACCAGCAGGUCAGAAAGCAGCCGCCCCAUCCCAUGUGCUAGGACCGAGGGCCGCUGUGUCCCUCAUGGCUGCUACAGCUUUCACAAAGCUUCCUCUUUUCCACCUCACUGCCGACACCUGAACUAGUUUGCAAUUCCAAAUCCGUUUCGAAUCCUAACAUUUUUUUCUGAAUUAUUUUUGGUUUUGGAGCAGGCUGAAGGGGAAAGCAUAACAGUUAAAACAACACGGCGCCUCCCAGAUAUG